ACCUUGACAAAACAGCCAUGCGUUGCUGGGGAUCCAUCUCUGCCUGUAUUGGCUUGGAUUCUGCAAAGCCUACAGGCUGGAAUGGGCUCAAAGCAACAUUGGCAGCUCAUCCCUCCCCAC
rnacentral:precursor_RNA from 1 species